GACGCAACCCAAAAUACUGGAACAAAAGAAACAACUUCCUUGAAGCUUUGCUGAAGCGGCACUUGCAGAGAGAGAGAGAGAGAGAGAGAGAGAGAUAGAGAUAGGGAAAAGAGAGAGAAUGAGAGAGCUUGUUGUCAACUUAACUUGCAGGGGGGAGGAGGGAGGGAGGGGGUCGUGGAAGUAGAGGGUGUCACCCACGAGUGGGGGAGACACACGAGAGGGAGAGAUGCAGGCGAGCACUACUACACGAAGCAUCACGGCUCCCCCUUUAAAAAACAUCAAUGAUGACACCACAUCUAUUUGAAAAAAUGUGACGAUAACCACAGAACAACCGCUCUACACGUGCCUCUCUCCUGGCUGCUCAUUACAGUAUGGCUAAUGUGACAAAUGGCUUUGCAGAGUCUGAGUGGACGUGUGCAGCGUGUUGUCAACACAUGCACUAAUGGAUGUACUUGAUGAUGAUGAUGUUGUGGCGAUGCCGUAGCAGCACGGAAUGGUUUGUGGGUUACACUGAGAUGCAGGCCAUGCUGUGCUGCCACAGUAAAGCUUGAUCUGCUCGCCCGUCUCCAGGAUCAUUCUUCCAUCUGCCGCAAACAAGACGCUGACAGUACCUUCAGCAUCAGGUCACUUCACUGUAGCAGCACGUAAAUAUUGGAGUGGACUCUCUAAGCCGAAGCCUCCAGUAUUGAUCGUGCUGCUGAAGCAAAGCUGACCACUCACUUGCUAGAAACAACCAUGGUGGUGUUUGGUUUUAAUGUUGUCACAAAUAAACCUGUACUGAUGAGAUUUUUUGUCCUGGAUUUGUUUUAAUCAAACAUGCCAUAUUUGUGUAUUUGUUUCCUUUUUAUCUCACCAAAUGAGCAGUGUUGGGACUAACACUUUACUGUAACGCAGUUACUUUCGGCGGUAACUAGUAAUCUAACGCGUUAUUUUUAUAUUCAGUAACUCAGUUACCGUUACUACAUGAUGCGUUACUGCGUUAUUUUACGUUAUUUUUUAUGUAGUAUCGGCUAGAAACUGAGAAGAUCUGAGUGUGUUUUAUUGGAGCGCUGCAGAAGAGGCGACGGAGAAGAGGCACUGUGUGUGUGUGUGUGUGUGUGUGUGUGUGUGUGUGUGUGUGUGUGUGUGUGUGUGUGUGUGUGUGUGUGUGUGUGUGUGUGUGUGUGUGUGUGUGUGUGUGUGUACUAACAAAA